UUGGAGCCACUGAGUUUGGAGUUUCU
rnacentral:piRNA from 1 species